AAUAAAAUAUUACUUGGGAGCGUGAAGAGUUAUUGCUUAAUGUGUACAGAGUUUCUGUGUGGGAUGAUGAAAGGUUUUGGAAACACAUAGUAGUGAUGGUUGCACAACAUUGUGAAUGUAGUUAAUGCCAUUGAAGAGUACAC